GGGGGUGUUUUUGGGUUUGCCAGGGUCAUCAAGGUUUAUAUUGCAUAUCUUGGUUACGCAAGUAAAAACGUCGAGGUUUCUAAUAACUGGAAAACAAACAAAUUCUGCUUCUGAAGGUGAUCAAAUUUAUAAUUGGGUUCCAUCUCAAAGCAGCCAAAAUUUACAACAAUUAGCUUUUGCUUAAAAAAUAGCAAAACCCGCCUUAAAUUAGCUUAAAGAUUUAAGGGCAGGUCAAAAAAGUUAGGCUUGCAUCAUAAGUUUGCCUUUGGCUUUUGAUAGCAAAUUAUACAAAGACUCGUAAUUUAUUUUUUUGUUUGUUUUAAAAUAAGUUAUUAAAAUAUUAAAAUAAACUAAAUAUGUAGAAUUUAUAAACUAAAAUGGCCUUGCACAUGGGUUCGAUUCCCAUCAUCUCCACCA
rfam:Candidatus Phytoplasma australiense complete genome